rnacentral:rRNA from 2 species
UACGGAGGGUGCGAGCGUUAAUCGGAAUUACUGGGCGUAAAGGGUGCGUAGGUGGUUAUUUAAGUUAGUUUUGAAAUUCCUGGGCUUAACCUGGGCUGGAGGACUAAUACUGAGUGACUUGAGUAUAGGAGAGGGUAGUGGAAUUUCCGGUGUAGCGGUGAAAUGCGUAGAGAUCGGAAGGAACACCAGUGGCGAAGGCGGCUACCUGGCCAGAUACUGACACUGAGGCACGAAAGCGUGGGGAGCAAACAGG